UUGAAGCAUUUAAGAACUAUUAUUAAAGGAGGUUGUGAAAAGUGUAAGCCUACGGAGAAUGGGGACAAUCCUUUCCGAGCCCUUUUUCCUCAGACCCAAGCUGCUCCUCAACCACAUUAUCCAUCUUAUGCUGGCUUCCGUGGAAACUGUGGACUGCAGUAAUCUGUAGAUUGCUGUCUGUAAGCAGUUUCCUCCAAGAGUGAAACAGUACCACCCAUAAGGAAACUCCUCGAGCAAGAAGGUAAACAACUCAAGAUAGCUUCCAGAAGUCCCUGAAACUGACCGAUUCACUAAUCCUCUCCUUAGCAGAGUAAGCAAUAAAAGCUGAAGGGUCUCUCUCAGACUGAAGAAAGCUGAGCUGCAAAGAUGGCUCUCAAAUAGAAGUGGAGCUGCCAAGAAGACCCAGACAAGCUGACCUUCAAAACUCCGAGACUGAACCAGCUGUCUCGAAGAAGAAACCAGCUGGGAAACCUGGAAGAGUUUUAGAUCAACUUUUCACUUGUUGGAAGGACAUGCUCCAACUUGUUGAGCUGCAAGCAGGCUGUGCAGUGUAUGCAAGAUCCAAGCUUUGUAAGCUGUCAUCUGGGCUGGGAUGAGACCAGGUGAUGCAUUACACCUGUCUUUGAGUCAUUUCCUCUCCUGUGAGUAAUCCCUCAAACAAUUCAUGUAAAGAACCCCAAUAAAAUUCCUUGGUUCACCACUUUGGUGGUAU